rnacentral:rRNA from 1 species
UACGGAGGGGGCUAGCGUUGUUCGGAAUUACUGGGCGUAAAGCGCACGUAGGCGGCUUUGCAAGUCAGAGGUGAAAGCCCGGGGCUCAACCCCGGAAUUGCCUUUGAGACUGCAUCGCUAGAAUUGUGGAGAGGUAAGUGGAAUUCCGAGUGUAGAGGUGAAAUUCGUAGAGAUCGGGAGGAACAUCCAUGGCGAAGGCAGCUACCUGGACCAACACUGACACUGAGGCACGAAAGCGUGGGGAGCAAACAGG